CUUGAGCGAGCCGAGCAGCAGCGGCGUGGCCGCGUCCCGGCCCCGGCCGUACGUGGCCAGCAGCGCCUGCGCCUC
rnacentral:antisense_RNA from 1 species